rnacentral:rRNA from 1 species
GAUCCUGGCUCAGGAUGAACGCUGGCGGCGUGCCUAAUACAUGCAAGUCGAACGAGGUAGCAAUACCGAGUGGCGAACGGGUGAGUAACACGUAGGUAACCUGCCCUUAAGCUUGGGAUACCCAGAGGAAACUUUGGCUAAUACCGGAUAACAACAGAGAAGGCAUCUUCUUUGCUUGAAAGGCCCCUUCAAGGGUCACUUAAGGAUGGACCUGCGGCGCAUUAGCUAGUUGGUGAGAUAACAGCCCACCAAGGCGAGGAUGCGUAGCCGAACUGAGAGGUUGAUCGGCCACAUUGGAACUGAGACACGGUCCAAACUCCUACGGGAGGCAGCAGUAAGGAGUUUUCGGCAAUGGGGGAAACCCUGACCGAGCAACGCCGCGUGAGCGAUGACGGCCCUAUGGGGUUGUAAAGCUCUGUUGUAAGCCAUGAAUGACAGCUUGAGGAAAUGCAAGUUGUUUGACGACAGCUUACCAGAAAGCCACGGCUAACUACGUGCCAGCCGCCGC